GAUUAUGUAGAAAAGAUGAAACAACAACGCGAUUUCAGAAUUCACGGAUUCGGCAUCGUGUUUUGGAAUUUAAUAACAUCAUCGCGUUUUCAACCUCAACAGCGUCUUGUUUUCAUAACAAUUAGCAUCGCAUUUUCAGAGUUCAUCAUCGCAUUCUUCAACCUUCUUUGCAUUCAUGGAUUGCGAUUCCAUUAAUUCAACUACAUUCAGGGAAUCGCGGUCAUGGACAUCAUUUUAAUUCAACGAUUCAAAGCUUCAAUUCAGGAAUUCAAAUUGUGUCCAACAAUAAUUAUCGAAAUUGCAACGGUGUCGAUGCGAAAUCGAAACAAAUUUCGGAUUGAAGCUAGAAGAAGGAAGACUCACCGGUUCAGAUAUUGAUCUCUCUGUACGCUUCUUAUGUUGCAUAUCGUUGCGUCGUUUGCGAGUUGUGAUGUUAUUAUUUGAGAUUUCAGGAGUUUU
rnacentral:lncRNA from 1 species